rnacentral:rRNA from 1 species
GACGAACGCUGGCGGCGUGCUUAACACAUGCAAGUCGAACGGUAAGGCCCUUCGGGGUACACGAGUGGCGAACGGGUGAGUAACACGUGGGUGAUCUGCCCUGCACUUCGGGAUAAGCCUGGGAAACUGGGUCUAAUACCGGAUAGGACCAUGCGCUUCCCGGUGUGGGGGGGCAAGCUGUUGCGGUGUGGGAUGGGCCCGCGGCCUAUCAGCUUGUUGGUGGGGUAAUGGCUUACCAAGGCGACGACGGGUAGCCGGCCUGAGAGGGUGACCGGCCACACUGGGACUGAGAUACGGCCCAGGCUCCUACGGGAGGCAGCAGUGGGGAAUAUUGCACAAUGGGCGCAAGCCUGAUGCAGCGACGCCGCGUGAGGGAUGACGGCCUUCGGGUUGUAAACCUCUUUCAGUAGGGACGAAGCGCAAGUGACGGUACCUACAGAAGAAGGACCGGCCAACUACGUGCCAGCAGCCGCCGCGG